CUUCACGCAGGCGAAGAAGCGCCAGUGCUGCGCCUCCCACGUUAUCGCUGCUGGCCCCCUCUUCCCCCGUUACACACACACGCACACACACACACACACACACAGACUCCCCACAACCCCCCUUUUUCGCCUACACCCGUGCCUCUGCUGUUUUCUUCUUGGUGCUCAGCAGCAGCAGCACGAGUGCCACUACGGAGCACCUAAGCACUGCCUGCCCUCCGCCUUUGUACUCAUCUAUGCUCCGUCGUCUGGGAAGUACGCUGCUCUGCAGCGUGACGCUGGCGAACGGAACCGUCCUCAAGGGUGACCUGAACCCGCACAACCCCAGUCUGCUGCUCAAAGGCAUUACCAUUCUGCCCGACGGGCGUGUCUACAGCGGUUCGUAUGACGCGACGUGUGGCUUCCCGCUGCCGGGGAGUCAGCUGGAGGAGGACGGCGAUCUCUACCGGGGCGAGUUCAACGCGCAGUGGCAGCGUGAGGGGCGCGGCGAGGCAUGGUUGGCGGACGGCACCCAUUACGCGGGUGUCUUCAAGAAUGACGAAAUCACCGAGGGCGUGGUGCGCAUUCCGAACGGCACGACGGAAGUUGUUUUCGAGGGCACACUGAAGGACGAGGCGUUCGUGAAGGGCAAGCUGACCCAAUCAGAUUUUGUGUACGAGGGCGAGUUCUCAGAUAAUGAACCUCAUGGCAAGGGCAAGCUCGUGUUCGCCACCGGUGCUGUGCAGGAGGGCACCUUUUUCCACGGCAAACUGCAUGGUCCCGACUGCAAGAUGAAGCUCGACGGCGGGUUCGUCUACGUCGGAGAGUUCCUCGACGGCCAGAUCCGCCGCGGCACCCUUUACACGCCCACCUACACAUAUGAGGGUGAAUUCAACGAGCACGGGCGUGCUCACGGCGAGGGUGCGCAGACGUACCUCAUCAACGAGCCACGCCUCACCUUUACCGGCAUCUGGACCAACGGCGCCUUGGUGCGUGGUGUUUGCAUGGACGAGUAUGGUAGCGCCGUGGAUUGGCAGAACAAUGAUGAGUUGCAGGCCAAGGUGCUUGGCGGUGCGACGGGGAAGGGCAGCGAGAGCGUGGGACUGAACAGCUACUGCAGCGCACGUAUGAAAGAGGCAGCGCAGCUGCACAAUGACAUGCAGCGCAGCUACGCAGAGGAUGCGGAAGCCGUUGCUCAGUCGACCGGCCGCUUCCCCACAAAGAUGGAUCUGGGCUACGAGGGCAGCAUCGCGCACGAGAACGAGGCCGUGGUGCAAGCGCAGCAGCGGCAGAUGCAGGACAUCGAGCGCUCCAGGGAGGCGCUGUCGGAUAGGGCGAAGGAAUUCGACACCAUCGCCUCGGGCGCACGCGGCAACAUCAUUGGAGAGAUCGAUGAGAACAUGGCAAAGAUCCAGUUUAGACGCCAGGUGGGCGCGGAGGAGGUCUCUGCCGCGCGCGUCGACGAGCAGUUUGAACGCUUCAUGAAGAGCUUCAAGAAGCCUUCUCCAUUGCCUGGUGCACCGGCGCAGGUGGCACAGAAGCUAAACAUCGACGGUAACGCGCCAUGGAAGGCGUUCACUCCGUCGAAAUAGCGCCUUUUUUCUUAGGCAGCUUUUCUUUUCGUCGUCGCCCGUUGGCGGCUCGUGCAGCUGAUGCAGCCUCCACGUCCGCGUCGUCUCACCUCUCUAGCGCUGUGCGCUCAUUCACCGUAUGCGCGGCGUUCGCGAGGAGUUCGUGCGUGCGUUUCUGCGCUUUGUGGUGAGGAUGCCGUUUCUGCCCAGCCGCUGUGUAGUCCCGUUCCCGCUUAAGCUGUCUCCGGCCCUUCACCUUGCCGCCUCUUGCGUACGUUGCUGUGGCUUUUCUCGCGUGCCUCCGUCCCUGCGCCCCUCUGCUCCGCUUCGUCUGACUUUGCAGUCUCCUCCUUUCUUGUAGAAUCGAGUGGGUGUGUGUGUGUGCGCCAAAGGCAUCCGCCGUUCUGGGCGUCUCACGCGCGUCUAAGGUGGUGAGCAAUGUGCACUACCAGCGGUGGUGAGGGCGGUUCCUGCGAGCUGGCAGGCUGGGCGCUCUGUCAGGGCUCACAACUUGUGCGCUAACAACGAGACAACGGUACGAACGCGAUCGCGGAGCCCACACACGUGCACUGCCAGUUGAUGCGCAUCGGCGGUCCUCGCGCCCGCCAUCGCCGCGUCGUUGCACUUCGGCUCAAGUGCGCCGUUGCCGUAGCGGUUUGCCGCUGCCAUCGCUCUUUUGUGUCGUCUGUGCGCGCGCCCAACGUUAACGGCUGCCACGGUGUUGAGAGGAUGCCACGCGUUUUCGGUCGCUGGCGGAGCGUCCUGCCUCGCGUCAGACGCCUCGCCUUCUCUCUUCCUGCCCUGUAACUGUCAGUGCCCCCUCCAAUCUCCCUCGCCCCUGCCCUGCCGUUGCAUUUGUGAAG
rnacentral:misc_RNA from 1 species